rnacentral:rRNA from 1 species
GGACGAACGCUGGCGGCGUGCUUAACACAUGCAAGUCGAACGGAAAGGCCCUGCUUUUGUGGGGUGCUCGUGUGGCGAACGGGUUAGUAACACGUUAGUAACCUGCCCUUGACUUUGGGUUUACUUCAGGAAACUGGGGCUAAUACCGGAUUGGAGCUCCUGCUGCAUGGUGGGGGUUGUAAAGUUUCGGCGGUUGGGGAUGGACUCGCGGCUUAUCAGCUUGUUGGUGGGGUAGUGGCUUACCAAGGCUUUGACGGGUAGCCGGCCUGAGAGGGUGACCGGCGACAUUGGGACUGAGAUACGGAGCAGAAUGCUACGGGAGGCAGCAGUGGGGAAUAUUGCACAAUGGGCGGAAGCCUGAUGCAGCAACGCCGCGUGCGGGAUGACGGCCUUCGGGUUGUAAACAGAUUUAGCCUGUGACGAAGCGUGAGUGACGGUAAUGGGUAAAGAAGCACCGGCUAACUACGUG